rnacentral:rRNA from 1 species
UACGUAGGGUGCAAGCGUUGUCCGGAAUUAUUGGGCGUAAAGGGCUCGUAGGCGGUCUGUCACGUCGGGAGUGAAAACUCAGGGCUUAACCCUGAGCCUGCUUCCGAUACGGGCAGACUAGAGGUAUGCAGGGGAGAACGGAAUUCCUGGUGUAGCGGUGAAAUGCGCAUAUAUCAGGUGGAACACCGGUGGCGAAGGCGGUUCUCUGGGCAUUACCUGACGCUGAGGAGCGAAAGUGUGGGGAGCGAACAGG